UCGUUUACGGAGAGGGGGAUGGAGAGAGCGAGGAGAAAGGGAGCGGAGCGGGGGAAGAGAAGGCGAGGGAGUCGAGGGGAAAAGAAGAAGGCUCUGCACCGGGAGGUCCACCACGCUGUAGAAUCCUCUUGAUUUUUAAGGGCUGGUACUGGUGGAAGCGUCUUGUGUUGAAGGGGGUUGCCAAAGUGACAAUAGUAACAUUGAACCCUCGAAUAUGCUCGAAGAUCUCGAAAUGAUCUUCCAGUUCUGGGGAGAAUUCGCAAAACUCCGUUUCCAUCGAAAAUUCAGUCUUGUCACCCUUUAAUGACCCUUAUCCUCUCCAUGUUUCGCUUGUUAAUGAGUUUUUGAACUUGGCCCGAUAUAUUGUCAAUGUUUGUAAAAUAUGAUUUUUGUGAAGGAAUUUCAUACCUUUUAUUAGAUUAAGGGGUAUUUUCUUCUUCUGGUUGUGCCAUUCAGGAUAGAAUUUAAUUAUAACUCCUGUUGUUCUUGUUGUUGUUGCAGUCUUGCAAGAGUUUGAAGAUGGAGGCGUUUAGACUGUAUCAAUUGUAUGUUAUAGCAGGAAACAUUUCCUCAAUCGAUGUGGUAACACAUAUGCCCAUCUUAUAUGAGGAAGCUGAUAUUCCAUACAUAUUCCUUCAAAAGAGGUCUGUUGUACCCUGUUAGCGUUUUUUUGUUCCUUUUCAUUUCGGUAGCUGGGCAAAUGCAUUGGCCAUGUAUAUAUACCAUAGUAUCCAUAAGGAGGCCGGGUUCUAGGCCAUCAUCAACUCAUGGUUUUAAUUUAAAGAUUUAAUAUUCUUUCGCCCACUUAGAUUACCUGCCUGGGCCAUUCUUAGCAGUGUAUGGAACUUAAUAGUCCUAGUUGCUGCUUCAUUUCAAGAACUUACGGUCAGGUUAUCAAAAUAAUCUAUAGGUUCUUGCAUGGAUAUUGGCUGCUUUUUAGUUCCAAACCAACUAUUUUAAGCCCUUAGGAUGUAAAUAACUUAAUAUCAUAUCCUAUUUUUCAAGAUAUUAUUUUUAAUGAUGCAUUUA